rnacentral:lncRNA from 1 species
AAAGUUCAUAAAUCGUAAUAUUUGGUGUACAGCCCAAAAUUUUCCCGAGGCCCAAACCUAACCCGAAGCCCAAAUUAACAAAAACACCCAAUACCCCAAAACAGCCCAACAAGCCCAAUUCUCUAGACCCAAAACCCGAAUGGCCUAAAUCCAAAACAAAAAAGAAAAAACCCUAAUCACCCUAACCCUAGCCUAGUGCCGCACCUAGCACACUUGCCCUCUGCCACCGCCGCCUGCAGCCACCUGCCCACUUGCCACCGCCACGGUCACGUUGCCACCGCUACAAGCACCUGCAAACAAGUCAAAAGUAGCAGCAAUAUUUGACAGAAAAGAAAAAUAGAAUAGAUUUAUUAUUUGGCUAUAAAAUCCGUCAAAAGAUCUGUAAAAAAGGGGGAUUUUCUUUGAUUUUUCUUUUUCCUUUUCGGCAAAAGCUGGGUUUACCGUAAAAUAAGAAGAGUUUUCUCUUCUUUCGUUUGCUACGAACGUUUGAAAUGAAGAACAAAUGCAAGUUUAAAAGUUUUUUUUCUUCUCAGAUUCGCAUUUUUUUUAUCUCUUAUGUUUUAUUUAUUUUAGAUAUCAAUAAUAUAAAAUAAAAGAGAGAAAAAGGAGAAGAAAAUCUCACAUGUGCCACGCCGGAGGAGGAGGAGACGAGCGGUCUCUCCUCAUUUUCGGAUCUUGGGCUCAUCUUUCUCGACGUUCCACCUUGGAUCUGUGGUCUAGAGGCAAUCGGCUUCAAAAGGGACCGAACAGAUCUGAUUUUGUGCCUUCGACCACCGUGCGCGGUGGCCGACGGACGACGGCCAAAUGCUUGGCCAAAGAGGGACCGAGAGAGAGAGAUGGAGAGCUCCUUUCUUUUUUU